rnacentral:misc_RNA from 1 species
CCAAGAAUGACAUUUUGGAGGUUGGCCAAGAAUUGCCUGGGCAUUUGAAACUGAAUGCUUGAAACAAGAACUGGGUCUCAUUACCUAUGCCUAAUUGAAGACGAUACAUUCUGCGGAGUUCUGCUGCCAUUAAAAACCUCUCAUCGGAGGGCUUUAGGAGGACAUGCCCAUUUUCCAAGUCUGAGACCUCCUGUUGCGAGUUGAGUAGUCCUUAGCUGAUAGCUACCACCUCUCACUUGGAACUGGCACUUGUAGCUGGGUAACUAUAUAGCUACUGAAUUGUGUAAUAUACUAAGAAAAAUAUACCACCCAGUAGUUUGUAUAGGCAAAGCUCAUCUAUGAUUGAAAGAACCGAGGUGCCAUUCCAUUUAUGGUUAAAGCAGCUUCCUGGGAUUUUCCCAUAUAAAAAAAAAUUAUCUCUUGGGUUACUAAUGUACAAAAUAAUUUUAUUAAAUUAAUAUGUAACUAAAUAAUUAAGUUAGUGCUGGGUCUUUAUAUGGGAACAACAAAUACUGACUGGAUAACAAUUGAGGUGUGUCUGGAUCACCACUGCCACACACCACGCCAGGCAACCUGUGAGAUUCUCUGUGUUUCUUAAAUUCAAAUGCAAUACUGCUGGUAUGAAUGGCGGCAUGUGAUACCGACAGUUAGACUGUCAGUAUCUUGCUUGAACGUGCAGAUGUGGAUAAAAUCACCUUGGUUUGGGAAUUUGUUUGUCACCCACACCCAUAAACUGGUAUUUUUUUUUUAAUUAACACACAUUUUUCGUAAAAUGUUCGCAGAAUAUACAUCCUUUGUACUUUAAUCUGCAAACGGAUGCUAGCAAUCCUUAAUGGGCAAUUGUACUAGCACUUGUAGGAUUUUGGAGUUGAGAUUCACAAUCAAGACUUUGAUUUCUUUCUCAAUAGAUCGAUCCAUUUCAAGUUGUGUAUCGCUUACAUUUUAGUCUAAUAUGCUGCCUUAAAAAUUUUAUGUUAACUAUUGCUAAAAUUUUGUUCUUUGGUGAUGUAACCUUUGUGAUAUGUUGUUAUUUCCUAUUAUAUUCUUUGGUUUUAUUUUCCA